rnacentral:rRNA from 1 species
AACAAACGCUGGCGGCGUGCCUAAUACAUGCAAGUCGAACGGGGAAAGCUUUCGGGUGAGUACUAGUGGCGCACGGGUGAGGAACGCGUGGAUAAUCUGCCUUAGAGUGGGGGAUAACUAGUCGAAAGAUUAGCUAAUACCGCAUAAGACCACAGGAGCUGCGGCUCAAGGGGUCAAAGGUUUUUCGCUCCAAGAUGAGUCCGCGUAAGAUUAGCUAGUUGGUGAGGUAACGGCUCACCAAGGCGACGAUCUUUAACUGGUCUGAGAGGAUGAUCAGUCACACUGGAACUGAGACACGGUCCAGACUCCUACGGGAGGCAGCAGUAGGGAAUAUUGCACAAUGGAGGAAACUCUGAUGCAGCGACGCCGCGUGAGUGAUGAAGGCCUUCGGGUCGUAAAGCUCUGUCGCAGGGGAAUAACACAAUGAAGGUACCCUGUAAGAAAGGAUCGGCUAACUUCGUGCCAGCAGCCGCGUAAUAC